AAAGAUUCAUCGCUGAUAGAUAGGCAUGCGUUCCAUUAGGCAGUUGGCGGGGUAACGGCCCACCAAACCGACGAUGGAUAGGGGUUCUGAGAGGAAGGUCCCCCACAUUGGUACUGAGACACGGACCAAACUCCUACGGGAGGCAGCAGUGAGGAAUAUUGGUCAAUGGGCGUAAGCCUGAACCAGCCAAGUCGCGUGAGGGAUGAAGGUUCUAUGGAUCGUAAACCUCUUUUAUAAGGGAAUAAAGUGUGGGACGUGUCCUGUUUUGUAUGUACCUUAUGAAUAAGGAUCGGCUAACUCCGUGCCAGCAGCCGCGGUAAUACGGAGGAUCCGAGCGUUAUCCGGAUUUAUUGGGUUUAAAGGGUGCGUAGGCGGCCUUUUAAGUCAGCGGUGAAAGUCUGUGGCUCAACCAUAGAAUUGCCGUUGAAACUGGGAGGCUUGAGUAUGUUUGAGGCAGGCGGAAUGCGUGGUGUAGCGGUGAAAUGCUUAGAUAUCACGCAGAACCCCGAUUGCGAAGGCAGCCUGCCAAGCCAUGACUGACGCUGAUGCACGAAAGCGUGGGGAUCAAACAGGAUUAGAUACCCUGGUAGUCCACGCAGUAAACGAUGAUCACUAGCUGUUUGCGAUACAGUGUAAGCGGCACAG
rnacentral:rRNA from 1 species